UACGAAGGGGGCUAGCGUUGCUCGGAAUCACUGGGCGUAAAGCGCACGUAGGCGGACUCUUAAGUCAGGGGUGAAAUCCUGGAGCUCAACUCCAGAACUGCCUUUGAUACUGGGAGUCUUGAGUCCGGAAGAGGUAAGUGGAACUGCGAGUGUAGAGGUGAAAUUCGUAGAUAUUCGCAAGAACACCAGUGGCGAAGGCGGCUUUCUGGGCCUUACCUGACGCUGAGACGCGAAAGCGUGGGGAGCGAACCGG
rnacentral:rRNA from 1 species